AGAUUGAACGCUGGCGGCAGGCCUAACACAUGCAAGUCGAGCGGUAGAGAGGUGCUUGCACCUCUUGAGAGCGGCGGACGGGUGAGUAAUGCCUAGGAAUCUGCCUAGUGGUGGGGGAUAACGUUCGGAAACGGACGCUAAUACCGCAUACGUCCUACGGGAGAAAGCGGGGGACCUUCGGGCCUCGCGCCAUUAGAUGAGCCUAGGUCGGAUUAGCUAGUUGGUGAGGUAAUGGCUCACCAAGGCGACGAUCCGUAACUGGUCUGAGAGGAUGAUCAGUCACACUGGAACUGAGACACGGUCCAGACUCCUACGGGAGCAGCAGUGGGAAUAUUGGACAAUGGGACGAAAGCCUGAUCCAGCCAUCGCCGCGUGUGUGAAGAAGGUCUUCGGAUUAGGUAAAGCUAACGUUUUAAGGUGGGAGGUAAGGUUUAGUAAACUUAAGUACGUUGACUAACGUUUGACGUUACCGACGAGAAUAACGCACGGCUAACUCGACGCCAGC
rnacentral:rRNA from 1 species